rnacentral:rRNA from 1 species
UACGGAGGGUGCGAACGUUAAUCGGAAUCACUGGGCGUAAAGCGCGCGUAGGCGGUCUGUUAAGUGGGAUGUGAAAUCCCCGGGCUUAACCUGGGAAUUGCAUUUCAAACUGGCCGACUAGAGUACGGUAGAGGGAGGUAGAAUUUCCUGUGUAGCGGUGAAAUGCGUAGAUAUAGGAAGGAAUACCAGUGGCGAGGGCGGCCUCCUGGAUCGAUACUGACGCUGAGGCGCGAAAGCGUGGGGAGCAAACAGG